CUCCCAGCUCACUCCGCACGGGAGGAGCGCGCGCCCGGCAAUGAAGAGGGAGAGCCAGCCGACUCCCAGUCCCAUCAGCCCCAGCCAAACUCCUGCAAAGACAAGGUAAGAAACAGGAGGGUGGCUGGAAAAUGAGCUGUGUGUGUGUGUAUGAAUGUCAGUGUAUGUAUGUCUGUCUGUAUGAAUGUGUGUAUGCCAGUAUGAAUGUAUGUCUGUAUGUCAUUAUGAAUGUGUGUAUGUAUGGAUGUCAGUGUCUGUAUGAAUGUAU
rnacentral:lncRNA from 1 species